AUUUACAAUGUUAUUAGUAUUUCUUGCUGCUGAAAUCUAUUUUAUAUAUAAAAAUUGGCACCAGCCAAAAAUACAAGAACAAAGGGAUAUAGCUCAUUACAUUAAAUGUCAGUAAGAUUAAAAGGAUAGAACAUUUUUAUGCAGCAUGCUAUGGGACAGACUAUGCUCUGUUACAGUGCCGUAAAUCUGCUGCAUCUUCAGUAGAGUUACUCCAGACUUGCAUUAGCAAAGAGGAAUUGGGCUGUAUAGAAUUAACACAAGGAAUCCAUUGUUCAAGAUAGUGAGGGAAACAGCAUAGUAAGAUUUUUAAAAGGAAACUAAUAGCAUCUGCAAUUAUCAUAUCUAUCUUUUAUUAGUGUUAUCAGUCAUGGCUCAAGACAUGAGCUUGACUGACAACUGACCUGCCAUUUGCCUCCUCACCAGUUGUGUGGUCCUGGACAAUCAGCUCAGUGCAUUAAGAGGACUUUCACCAUCCACUGGACCAACAACACUGGCUAUUGUUGGAGAUUAUACUUGCUCCUCAUUCAGAUGUUAACCAAAAACUGGGAUGGAGAAAAGUCCAUAACAAAGGUUGAUGUGGUCUAACUCUGCCUGAUUUUUCAACCAUACCCACCUGCAUGUGCCAAGAGACCACCAAAACAGCUGGAAUCUGCAGAAGAGGGGCAAGUAUGCUUUUCUGUUUCCAGUUCUUCAUUAAGCAUACCAAAUUGGCCUAGCCUACCAUUUUAUUGAACCUGACAGCAGCUUUCAUCCAGUGGACGUUGCUGAGUGUCUAGAUGCUCACCCCUUCAGUCUACCAGCAUCAAUGGACAAUUUGAAUAGCUACGAUUCUGCCAACUGUUAGCAUUAAGGGAGGACAGUGCCCAUAUUGUACAACUGGGUAACCACUUCAUCAAGGAUUUAAAUCUCAGAAUUUUUACAUAAGCAAGGAGCUUCAAGCUUAAGUGCUUUGACCCAGCUCUGUUUUUACUAUCCUCUCCAUCUCCUGUAUUUGUUUACUUAUAUGUAUGAUUAAUAUUAGCAUUCCACUCUCUCUUCAAGGGGCAGCAGCAGCCGCAAAACUGUAGCCAAGCAAUCAGUUUUUCAGGCACAGUAGCCCAGUAAAUUGGGUGUUGUUCUAUCAUUGCUGAGGUGGUUAGUAGAGCUGGUUGGAAAUGUCCUGAUGAGAGUUUCACUGGAAAAUGGCCGUUCAUUGAACUCAAGCUGUCUCAUGGAAGUGAGUUUGGUUUGAUGAAGUUUUAUCUGGUGGGCUGCUAGGGAUGCCAGACUUCCAUGGUCUGUAUAGCUUUGGAGCCGCUGCAUCAUGCAGCAUGGAAGCCCUAAAACCAGUUCAAGCUGGGGCUCAAGGGUUUCCAGGAUUCCUGCUCCAGAGCCAAGAGGUCCUGGGACAGGAUUCCUGAACAUCUAAGUGUUAGGAGCUUUAUAACAUAUUCUGUCUACAUCUAGCCCUUGUUACAGCCCCUUUUCAAUUCCUUAAGUCCAGAGACACUCUUGGGAGACAAACAGAAUGAUACAUUGUUUCAGCUGAUCUCUUAUUUUAAAGAUAUGGAGGCGUUCCCCAUACCUUCUGUUAAAGUGUUUUUUCCUGUUAGCAAUUAGACUGGCCAGGAGAGUUAGUACAUUUAGAGGGCCUUAUCCAUCUGUAAUCCUGUGUACAUUUUUUUUUUUCCAGUUUAGGUGAUUCUCAGGCCUUUAGUACAGUUUUAUGCCCCCAAAGUUAAAUUGGUUCAAGUGAAAACUAUAUCUGUGUUCUAAGCCCUUGCACAAUUAGGACAAUCAGUUGCACACUUUAAAUGGGGAGGGAUAGCUCAGUGGUUUGAGCAUUGGCCUGCUAAACCCAGCAUUGUGAGUUCAGUCCUUCAGGGGGCCACUUAGGGAUCUGGGGCAAAAUCAGUACUUCGUCCUGCUAGUGAAGGCAGGGGACUGGACUUGAUGACCUUUCGGGGUCCCUUCCAGCUCUAUGAGAUAGGUAUGUCUCAAAUUAUUAAAAUAUGAUUCAAACAUUCAAAUUGUUUAUGACAAACUACUCCUUGAAGAAAAUUAAAUUUAGGAUUAGACUGCUGACUAAAGGGGUGUGAAGAGCAUCCAUAUUCACUGUUUCCAGCUAGAUAUAGUCAGGAGUUUGCCAGGCUUACAAACUGUUCAUAAAAGAUCCCUCCCUCUUUGAAGGCUCACUCAAUCAGGCAAGUGGUCAUUAGAUGGGAAAACAGCACAGUUCUUCAUUAAGGUAGUUUCACCAUAUUGCUACCUGGACUUCAGUGCAUUCUUAUUGUAUCACUAAAUUAAAAUAGAUGUUUGUCUGAAGAAACUCUAAGAAAUAAGAUUCUGCAUUUCCUCUCUCAAUCUGCCUUAAUUAAAACCCAUUCAUAUGGCAGAGGGAGGAAGGAAGAACUAAAAAAACAAAACAACCCCCCCCCCACCCCCCGAUGCUCAAAUAAGAGCUGUUUUUCCUUUUGGUUCAGUUUUCUUGAUUUCUAAGUUGCCCUUCCAUUUGUGGAAAUUUGUUUUACUGCUGCCUACUUCCCAGCUGUAAUGGAUCAUAUAUUGUCAUGUGUCCAUGAGGGCCAAAAGUAUAAUUUACUUACCUAUCAGUAAUCCCCCCCCCCCCUUUUCUGAAGUAGGCCUGGUGCUCUUUGAAACCCCUACCCAGGGAGACACCUAGUUUGCAUGUAUUCUGGUUGGAAGGGAAAUCUCAGUCCUUCUGUCACAGUUACAUGGUGAGCUGAGUUUUAGUCCCCCUUUUUGUCCUUCUUGAGAGCAUCCCUCAGGCAAUGCAUAAAGUGGUCUGAAAAACAGUGAGGGGAGCAGCAGCUUUGGUAUGAUAGUUCUUAAAGUGUGCCCAUCAGCAACCAGCUUGAUUUUAAAAGAAUAAAUCUGCUGGGUCUGUAACACUCCCUCCCCAGCCUCACACCACUUUAAUCACUGCUUUCAGGUGACAGGCCUGGCUUCCUUCACCUCUCUUAAGGAUGGAACCAUGUGGUUCAACCACUCUGGGAUUAGCUCUCAGAGUCAAUACAGAAGCUGCCAAUCUACUGAAGCUACAUCAGCCUAGAAGAUGAACCCAAUGUCCAGCUGGAGACUUGGUAGCAGAGAUAACCCUCAAAAGACUGAGACAAUGGCCAAAAAAACUAAUGGCUUGAAGAGUUCCUACAAAGACAGUGGUUCUGAAUACCCCUAUAGCUCAGAGAAAACUUCUAGAACAGAGGUUCUCUAACUAUGGUCUGCAGACCACAAUGGUCUGUGAACUCCAUUGAGGUGGUCUGUGGAUAGUUCCCUCUAAGGUGUGUGCCUGGGCAGCUGCACACAAGAGAAUGUAGGGCCACCCACCUAAUUAGUGGAGCUGCGCAGGUGUGGCUCCACUAAUUAGGUGCCUGGACCCUGGAGAAGACACAUAUGUAAGGAGAGGUGGUGGCCUUUGGGGGAUAGGGGGUAGGUGGGAGGGGGCAGUGAGGUGAGAAGAGUGGGUGGGAGGAAUCUGGGAUGUGCAGGGCUGUAGCGGCCAGAGAAAGAAAGAGGUGACUUUCCCCGGCUCCAGGGCUGUGGCUGCUGGGGAGAAACCCCCCUCCUUCCCAGCCCCAGCUCGGGAGUUGCUGCAGUGGGGGUAGAGAAGACACAUCCAUCACAUCAGAAAGGUAAGACUACUGCUAUUAAAAUGAGAUGUGUACUUUUAUUUGUAGAACGAAAAAACAUUAAUUAUUAUUAAGUAUUUUUUAUAUAGCGCUUUUAUCCAAAGCACUUUACAAUAGUUAGCUAGCAGUACAAAUAACAUGGAAGAUCAUUAAGUGGUCCGCCAAGACCCUCAGCAAUUUUCAACUGGUUUGCAGGGGAAAAAAAAGUUUGAGAACCACUGUUCUAGAAUUUGAGCCUGAGGCUACAUUGCCUACCCCUCUACCAGCAGAUAUGUUCUUCCAUCUCUUCUGAGGAGAGACAUGCCUCUGCAAAGCCUUAUAGAUGAAAGAGCCCUGGAAAGGGCAUCUUAUCACCAUUCCAGAUGGUGCAGAGUCCAAACCCUGAAUCCAGGUCUCAGAGAGCUUAGAAGCAGAUGAACCCCAAGAGAAAGUGCAAGUUCCACUGAGAUUCAACAAAGAGGAAGAAUCAGAAAAGUAGGUGUAAUAGGGGAGAGUAGAAUCUGCCAAGAACUGCUGCUGCUGGCUGGGGGAAAAGAGUUACUAAACAGAGCGUCAGUAGUCACUAAGGCUGUGUCUACACUGGCAACUGAAUAACAAAACUUUUGUCUUUCAGAGGUGUUAAAAAACCAAAACCCUGGAAGACAAAAGUUUUGCCACGACAAGUGCCAGUGUGAACAGGUCAUUGUUGGCAGAAGCACUUUCCAGCUGACAAUGCAAACGCCACUCAUUGGGGGUGGAAGUUUUUUGGCAGCUGGAGAGCUGACAAACAGCAGCUACACUGCGCGACUUUUAGCAGCCUGGCUGUGGUGACACAGCCCUGUCGCUAAAAGCUGAGUAGUGUAGACAUAGCCUCAAAUGACCCUGUAUCCCUCCCUAGCAGUAAAUGACCAGAUAGAUCCAUGAUGUCUCCUGUUACUCAAAUCUGGAGAGUGCGUAGCCAGGGGCAUGGGGUGGAGAGGAAUGUAGAUGACUCAAGGCUUUUGAAGCCAGCCUUCAGUCAUAUUGGCAUCUCAAAGCUGCUCUGCACUUCUGCCUUAGGAACUUCAAAACAGAGUUUGUGUCAAGUGGGUGCUUGGACUGGGGACAUGAGAAACUGAAUAUGUAAGGCCAAUGCCAAUAGAAAAGCCUUCAACUGGUUCUCACCCUUUCCUUGAUUAGCACGUAAGUGCAUACAAAUAGAGCAGGCCCGGGGAGGGUAGGGAAGGUCCCUCUCAAAGGCACUUGACCAAGAUGGAAGACAGCUUGUCUCUGUAUAAGAGGCACGUUAUUUGAAUCCUGACUCCUUCAAUGCCAUCAGAGCCUAACAGUUGGUGUGGAACUAACCAGGACUGCAGAUACUACUCAGAAUGAGUUGUACCACUGGAGGCAGUUUCUUUUAAUUCCGUGGGGGUAUGCACCCCCAGAGAAUUAACUUUGACAAAUAUCAUCCUGAUUAUUUUGGGAAAGUUGGUAUGAGACACUACCACUUGAAGAAGGACCAGAACUUCUGUAACUGUUGACACCACUAAACAAAACAUGUAAAAAGCUCCUCAAGGUAAAUACAGAAGACCCAAACUUUGAAGUUCUUUAUCAUAGUAGAUUAACGGAAACUGGGUGGGCUCAAGGCCACAGUGCAUAUAUUCUCAAAUCUGAAUGUCCAGAUCCACUAGCAAGCGUGCAUGUGGUCCAACAAAGACUGCUUUUAGAGAGAGUUUCUGCUUUCCAUAUAGAAUAUCCUGCUGUUGAUUGAUUUAUCUCAUUAGACUGACUUCACACAUGGUAAACCAACCCCAUUCUUUCAAGUAUUUAUAUCUGAUCCUGUAUUUUUCACUUCAUGCAUCUGAUGAAAUGGGUUCUAGCCCACGAAAGCUUAUGCCCAAAUAAAUUUGUUAGUCUCAAAGGUGCGACAAGGACUCUGUUGUUUUUGCUUUUAGAGAGAGUUUCUGCUUUCCAUAUAGAACAUACUUACAUGCCACAUGUGGGGAUCCGUAUUUGCAAUUCUUUAAGGAGCAACAAAAAGUUCAUUUCAGGCCAAAAAUAAAUAAUGUACUUUGAGGCAGUUCUUUUUGUGAAAAUCAAACAGUUCUAUUGCACAUUCAGAACAGGCUGUCACCUAAUGUAGCAUAGCAUACCAUUAAGUGAUUAUGUUGGCAACUACAGACUAUUGAGGGAAAACAGCAAUAUCUUUCAAGAGCAGCAUAAUUCCAAAAGCAACUUAAUAAUUUCUAUCAAGACUGGAGUCUGAUGGAAGGAUCAGUGGCCUUCGAGCCCAUUGCCAUGCAGUGACGUUUAGUGCAUGCAGAAGUACAAUCUUAAAGCAUAUUAUGACCAAAAUACAUAAACAAGGAGCUAAAAUACAGUUUGAAAAAUCUACUCCCACAGCUUCUCUCUCUCAUCCUCUUUUCUUCAUGCUAGUCUCUCCCAUAUCCAUACAUUCCUGAGCCUGCUUUUAUUUAUAUAUUAUAAAUUAUGUACUUUAUUUGAGCAGGGCCAUUGCAAAUUUGAGCAAAGAACAGUUUGAUUCCAUAAUCAUAAUUUCUGCUGUUUCCUGUAGAAUCUUAGUGUUAUUUUAAAAAUUCCUAGUUAACCUUUUCCAAUGCAAAAAAUUACUUUUGUCUCUGCCCCACCACAUAUCAUUGAGAUGAAUGGGAACUUCAAAGCCAAUCUGAAUAA